GAUGAACGCUGGCGGCGUGCCUAAUACAUGCAAGUCGAGCGAAUGGACUAAGAGCUUGCUCUUAUGAAGUUAGCGGCGGACGGGUGAGUAACACGUGGGUAACCUGCCCAUAAGACUGGGAUAACUCCGGGAAACCGGGGCUAAUACCGGAUAACAUUUUGAACCGCAUGGUUCGAAAUUGAAAGGCGGCUUCGGCUGUCACUUAUGGAUGGACCCGCGUCGCAUUAGCUAGUUGGUGAGGUAACGGCUCACCAAGGCAACGAUGCGUAGCCGACCUGAGAAGGUGAUCGGCCACACUGGGACUGAAACACGGCCCAGACUCCUACGGGAGGCAGCAGUAGGGAAUCUUCCGCAAUGGGCGAAAGUCUGACGGAGCAACGCCGCGUGAGUGAUGAAGGCUUUCGGGUCGUAAAACUCUGUUGUUAGGGAAGAACAAGUGCUAGUUGAAUAAGCUGGCACCUUGACGGUACCUAACCAGAAAGCCACGGCUAACUACGUGCCAGCCGCCGCAGUAA
rnacentral:rRNA from 1 species